rnacentral:rRNA from 1 species
AACGAACGCUGGCGGCAGGCCUAACACAUGCAAGUCGAGCGAGGACUUCGGUCCUAGCGGCGGACGGGUGAGUAACGCGUGGGAACGUGCCCUUUGCUACGGAAUAGCGCUGGGAAACUGGGAGUAAUACCGUAUGUGCCCUUUGGGGGAAAGAUUUAUCGGCAAAGGAUCGGCCCGCGUUGGAUUAGGUAGUUGGUGGGGUAAUGGCCUACCAAGCCGACGAUCCAUAGCUGGUUUGAGAGGAUGAUCAGCCACACUGGGACUGAGACACGGCCCAGACUCCUACGGGAGGCAGCAGUGGGGAAUCUUAGACAAUGGGGGAAACCCUGAUCUAGCCAUGCCGCGUGAGCGAUGAAGGCCUUAGGGUUGUAAAGCUCUUUCAGUGGGGAAGAUAAUGACGGUACCCACAGAAGAAGCCCCGGCUAACUCCGUGCCAGCAGCCGCUGUAACAC